rnacentral:rRNA from 1 species
GAAACGACUGCUAAUACCCCAUACUCCUUUUAUCUUAAUGAUAAUUGGGAAACGUCUUUUCGCUAAAGGAUGAGACUAUAUGGUAUCAGGUAGUUGGUGGGGUAAGAGCCUACCAAGCCAAUGACGCCUAGCUGGUCUGAGAGGAUGAUCAGCCACANUGGAACUGAGACACGGUCCAGACUCCUACGGGAGGCAGCAGUGGGGAAUAUUGCACAAUGGAGGAAACUCUGAUGCAGCAACGCCGCGUGGAGGAUGACGCAUUUCGGUGUGUAAACUCCUUUUAUAUGGGAAGAUAAUGACGGUACCAUAUGAAUAAGCACCGGCUAACUCCGUGCCAGCAGCCGCGGUAAUACGGAGGGUGCAAGCGUUACUCGGAAUCACUGGGCGUAAAGCGCGCGCAGGCGGCCUUUUAAGUUGGAUGUGAAAGCCUAUGGCUCAACCAUAGAACUGCAUCCAAAACUAUCAGGCUAGAGUGUGGGGAGAGGAAG